rnacentral:rRNA from 1 species
GACGAACGCUGGCGGCGUGCUUAACACAUGCAAGUCGAACGGAAAGGCCCUGCUUGUGUGGGGUGCUCGAGUGGCGAACGGGUGAGUAACACGUGAGUAACCUGCCCUUGACUUUGGGAUAACUUCAGGAAACUGGGGCUAAUACCGGAUAGGAGCUCCUGCUGCAUGGUGGGGGUUGGAAAGUUUCGGCGGGUGGGGAUGGACUCGCGGCUUAUCAGCUUGUUGGUGGGGUAGUGGCUUACCAAGGCUUUGACGGGUAGCCGGCCUGAGAGGGUGACCGGCCACAUUGGGACUGAGAUACGGACCAGAGUCCUACGGGAGGCAGCAGUGGGGAAUAUUGCACAAUGGGCGGAAGCCGGAUGAAGCAACGCCGCGUGCGGGAUGACGGCCUUCGGGUUGUGAACCGCUUUCGCCUGUGACGAAGCGUGAGUGACGGUAAUGAGUAAAGAAGCACCGGCUAACUACGUG